AUUGGACGCUGGCGGAAUGCUUUACACAUGCAAGUCGAACGGCAGCACGGACUUCGGUCUGGUGGCGAGUGGCGAACGGGUGAGUAAUGUAUCGGAACGUGCCCAGUCGUGGGGGGAUAACGUAGUGAAAAUUACGCUAAUACCGCAUACGAUCUAUGGAUGAAAGCGGGGGAUCGCAAGACCUCGCGCGAUUGGAGCGGCCGAUAUCAGAUUAGGUAGUUGGUGGGGUAAAGGCCCACCAAGCCAACGAUCUGUAGCUGGUCUGAGAGGACGACCAGCCACACUGGAACUGAGACACGGUCCAGACUCCUACGGGAGGCAGCAGUGGGGAAUUUUGGACAAUGGGCGAAAGCCUGAUCCAGCCAUUCCGCGUGCAGGAUGAAGGCCCUCGGGUUGUAAACUGCUUUUGUACAGAACGAAAAGGUUUCUACUAAUACUAGGAGCUCAUGACGGUACUGUAAGAAUAAGCACCGGCUAACUACGUGCCAGCCGCCGCGGUAA
rnacentral:rRNA from 1 species